rnacentral:rRNA from 1 species
AAGGUAGCGAAAUUCCUUGUCGGGUAAGUUCCGACCUGCACGAAUGGCGUAACGAUGGCCACACUGUCUCCUCCCGAGACUCAGCGAAGUUGAAGUGGUUGUGAAGAUGCAAUCUACCCGCUGCUAGACGGAAAGACCCCGUGAACCUUUACUGUAGCUUUGCAUUGGACUUUGAAGUCACUUGUGUAGGAUAGGUGGGAGGCUUUGAAGCAGAGACGCCAGUCUCUGUGGAGCCGUCCUUGAAAUACCACCCUGGUGUCUUUGAGGUUCUAACCCAGACCCGUAAUCCGGGUCGGGGACCGUGCAUGGUAGGCAGUUUGACUGGGGCGGUCUCCUCCCAAAGAGUAACGGAGGAGUUCGAAGGUUACCUAGGUCCGGUCGGAAAUCGGACUGAUAGUGCAAUGGCAAAAGGUAGCUUAACUGCGAGACCGACAAGUCGAGCAGGUGCGAAAGCAGGACAUAGUGAUCCGGUGGUUCUGUAUGGAAGGGCCAUCGCUCAACGGAUAAAAGGUACUCCGGGGAUAACAGGCUGAUUCCGCCCAAGAGUUCAUAUCGACGGCGGAGUUUGGCACCUCGAUGUCGGCUCAUCACAUCCUGGGGCUGUAGUCGGUCCCAAGGGUAUGGCUGUUCGCCAUUUAAAGUGGUACGUGAGCUGGGUUUAAAACGUCGUGAGACAGUUUGGUCCCUAUCUGCAGUGGGCGUUGGAAGUUUGACGGGGGCUGCUCCUAGUACGAGAGGACCGGAGUGGACGAACCUCUGGUGUACCGGUUGUAACGCCAGUUGCAUAGCCGGGUAGCUAAGUUCGGAAGAGAUAAGCGCUGAAAGCAUCUAAGCGCGAAACUCGCCUGAAGAUGAGACUUCCCUUGCGGUUUAACCGCACUAAAGAGUCGUUCGAGACCAGGACGUUGAUAGGUGGGGUGUGGAAGCGCGGUAACGCGUGAAGCUAACCCAUACUAAUUGCUCGUGAGGCUUGACUCU